UCUAAUAUGGCAGACUAGUGCAUUGGAUUUAAGCCCCAAAUAUAAAGGCAACUUUUUUUAGAA
rnacentral:tRNA from 1 species